CAACGGCAACCGGAAACCGGUGCCAUCUUGGAGUUGGCUUCCCACACAGGGGACCCUCUGACUGAACCAUACAAAGCAAGAGAAAUUUAUUGUUCCAGCGCUCUGGGGUCGCCCUGCACCCAAAGGAGAGGCAGCGACUCCAGGCAGGCCUGAAAAGAAGGAGUUGGUUCGUGUGAUUCUGAAGGAAUCUGUUCCAAGAUCUGCAGGGCAAGUUGGCUGAAAAGACGCCGGAGAGCCAAUGGUACCUUCCUGCUCUGAAGAAAGGCAUGCUCAAGGAGACACAGCCAAUGCUUUCGUCUGAAUCCAAAGGCAGGAGAAAGUUGAUAUCGUAGUACACGGAUGAUGUCAUGAGUCGUCUCACAUAGGGAGUCAGUCUCAACCAUUUUAUUCUCUCCAAAUAGUCAACAGAUUAGGCAAAUCCUACCCAUGCUAAUAAUAGCAUUAGUAAUCAUUAUAAGUCACCUACAAAAAGGGGGUUCUUCCUUAACUAGUAUGCAGAUUUGCAUAUGACUCUCAUGUUUAUAAAAACUAUUCUUGAGGAUACACCCCAAAUAAUGUUUGACCAAGUAGCUAAAUACAUGCACCCCAAGCAAGUGGGCACUAAUGAUCAGAUCUAGAAACCUAAGAUAAAAAAAAAAAUGGAAGUGUCAAAUAUUUUUCCAACACUAAGCAAGAGCAUGGAAGAGCAGAUUUUCUGACAUCUGUGGUUCAUAGAAGCCCUUGUAUGACCUUUAUAUUACUUUAUUCUCUCAGAUCAACAAAGUAAGACCAUUUGGUCAUGUUCUAUAGACAUGAAAAAAAAAAAAAAAAAAAACCAGCAACGGUCUCUUCAGACAGUCUUAAUAAUCACUGAAACUUGCCCAAAGAUCAAAUGAGAAAUUAACUUAAAUGAAAGCAAUUCUAAUGAGAAAAGCAUACGUCACUACCCAGGUAGAAAUUUACUAAUGAAGCAAUCAACUGCUAUCAGACAAGGUGUGUGAUAUAUUACACAUAGUAUAUUCAAUAUCUAUGUAUGCCUCCAUCACCACUAAAUAUAGGCACUACUUUUUCAGGACAACACAGAAGAGAAAAUUAGGAUAAAAAAUGUUAAGAUGUGUUUUCUCAAGAUUAAGGCAAUUGUCAGACCAAUGGCAAUAUUGUUUACAUAAAACCAAAAUAUAACUGACUCUUUCAUAGUAAAUAGUAACUCAGUAUCAUAUAUGACUUGGAACUCCAAGGUAAGCUGACUCUGUUUUCAACAUAAUUUGCCCAACAAAGAUUUGCUGCACCAAGCCACCUACUUAGUGGCUUCCAAAGAAACUCAGGGAUGGAUGAGAUUUUGGUCUUAAACAUAAGAGGAACUUCAUUCCAUAAUCAGCUGGCAUGGGUGAGCCACAGGGUUCCUAGCCAUGGCAACUGCUGACAUCUGAAGCUGGUAAUUCUUUGUUGUAAGAGUCUGUAUUACAUACUAUAGGGAAUUUAGCAGAAGUAUCUCUGAUCUCAAUUCACUAGGCACCCGUAACAACUAAGUGGAACCAUAAAUGUCUCAAGACAUGGUAAAUUUUUCCUGGGAAUGAAAACCCUUCCAGUGUGAGAUCCCUGGCACUGGAUGAAAUUGUGACAGAGAACAUAAACUUUUGGCUGCAAAUCUGUUAGAUUUUUGAUUGGUUGGAUUCAUUGUUGUUCGUUUGAUAUUAUACCUGUGCUACCUCUUAAUGGGCGAAGGAUUUUUCCAUUUUCCUUAAAUAAUUAGAUUACAGAAGCUUCACCAUUGGUUUUAGAGGAAA
rnacentral:lncRNA from 1 species